rnacentral:rRNA from 1 species
UACAGAGGUCUCAAGCGUUGUUCGGAUUCAGUUGGGCGUAAAGGGUUGCGUAGGCGGCGCGGAUAAGUCGGGUGUGAAAUCAUCGGAGCUUAACUCCGAAACUGCAUUCGUAUACUGCCUGUGCUUGAGGACUGGAGAGGAGACUGGAAUUUACGGUGUAGCGGUGAAAUGCGUAGAUAUCGUAAGGAAGACCAGUGGCGA